UACGUAGGUGGCAAGCGUUGUCCGGAUUUACUGGGCGUAAAGAGCGCGCAGGCGGUCGUGCAAGUCGCGUGUGAAAGCCCCCGGCUCAACUGGGGAGGGUCACGCGAUACUGCUCGACUUGAAGGCAGGAGAGGGAAGUGGAAUUCCCGGUGUAGUGGUGAAAUGCGUAGAUAUCGUCAAGAACACCGAUAGCGAAGGCAGCUUACUGGGCUGUAACUGACGCUGAGGCACGAAAGUGUGGGGAUCAAACAGG
rnacentral:rRNA from 1 species